ACGCUGGCGGCGUGCUUAACACAUGCAAGUCGAACGAUGAACCACUUCGGUGGGGAUUAGUGGCGAACGGGUGAGUAACACGUGGGCAAUCUGCCCUGCACUCUGGGACAAGCCCUGGAAACGGGGUCUAAUACCGGAUACUGACCCGCCUGGGCAUCCAGGCGGUUCGAAAGCUCCGGCGGUGCAGGAUGAGCCCGCGGCCUAUCAGCUUGUUGGUGAGGUAACGGCUCACCAAGGCGACGACGGGUAGCCGGCCUGAGAGGGCGACCGGCCACACUGGGACUGAGACACGGCCCAGACUCCUACGGGAGGCAGCAGUGGGGAAUAUUGCACAAUGGGCGCAAGCCUGAUGCAGCGACGCCGCGUGAGGGAUGACGGCCUUCGGGUUGUAAACCUCUUUCAGCAGGGAAGAAGCGCAAGUGACGGUACCUGCAGAAGAAGCGCCGGCUAACUACGUGCCAGCAGCCGCGGUAAUACGUAGGGCGCGAGCGUUGUCCGGAAUUAUUGGGCGUAAAGAGCUCGUAGGCGGCUUGUCGCGUCGGUUGUGAAAGCCCGGGGCUUAACCCCGGGUCUGCAGUCGAUACGGGCAGGCUAGAGUUCGGUAGGGGAGAUCGGAAUUCCUGGUGUAGCGGUGAAAUGCGCAGAUAUCAGGAGGAACACCGGUGGCGAAGGCGGAUCUCUGGGCCGAUACUGACGCUGAGGAGCGAAAGCGUGGGGAGCGAACAGGAUUAGAUACCCUGGUAGUCCACGCCGUAAACGGUGGGCACUAGGUGUGGGCGACAUUCCACGUCGUCCG
rnacentral:rRNA from 1 species